UUCAAGUAGCGGUCAUGAACACCAGGAGGGGCUGUUGGGUGACGAUUCAACAUCUCCAGUCCAUCAAAAGAGCAUGACCGGUUGCAAAGGAGGCUCAAGGAACUAGCGCUAGUUCCUUGUUUGUAAGCUAAUCCUAUCUCUCUUAAAAAUGAACUUGUGACUGUGCCUGGUUAUUGUGAUGUGUAUUGAUUGAAAAACCUGAGGAUAAUGUGUGAUUGCUAAAUAUAAUUAGUUGAAUCUGUCCCAGGAUGCUUUAAAGGCUUGUUUAGUGGUUAAAGAUUAAAAUGCUUGCUCCUGUUAAGUAAUGAGUUUUCUAAAUGUGAAAUGAUAUUGUUUGAAGCUCAUGAACUGAAAACAGAUUGAAAGUAAUGCAUUGUCUGAUGUUAAGUGAUGAUAGUAAUGCUUAGCCUAAGUUAUAAAUGAAUGUGUGAUGGAUUGUAUUGCUGCAUUCAUGAAUCAAAACUGAUUAAGGUUAGUGCAUACUGUCACAUGGCUGUCUUACAUUGAAGCAUUAGAUUCAUGUCUAAAUGCUGAGUAAAGAAGCUUUAAAAAUUGCCUAAGUAGCUUGUAUUGAAUCUGCUAGGAUCAUGCUAGUGCUUAGAGAGUUUGCUUGCAAAGAUUAGAACUUGAAAAUGUCUAGUUUAAUCUGUUGCAUUGCUUAAAGACAUUGGUGUUCAAACUUGAUGAUAC
rnacentral:lncRNA from 1 species